rnacentral:rRNA from 1 species
UACGUAGGGUGCAAGCGUUGUCCGGAAUCAUUGGGCGUAAAGCGCGCGUAGGUGGCCUCAUAAGUCCGCUGUGAAAGUCAAAGGCUCAACCUUUGAAAGCCGGUGGAUACUGUGAGGCUAGAGUACGGAAGAGGCGAGUGGAAUUGGUAGUGUAGCAGUGAAAUGCGUAGAUAUUACCAGGAACACCAAUGGCAAAGGCAGCUUGCUGGGCCACUCCUGACACUGAGGUACGAAAGCGUGGGGAGCGAACAGG